rnacentral:rRNA from 1 species
GUAGUCAUAUGCUUGUCUCAAAGAUUAAGCCAUGCAUGUCUAAGUAUAAACAACUUUAUACUGUAAAACUGCGAACGGCUCAUUAUAUCAGCAAUAAUUUAUUUGAUGGUUUCUUACUACAUGGAUAACUGUAGUAAUUCUAGAGCUAAUACAUGCGUAAAGUCCCGACUCUCGCGGGGAGGGAUGUAUUUAUUAGAUAAAAAACCAAUGCGGGGUCUCCUCGCCUUUGUGUUGAAUCAUAGUAACUUCUCGAACGCCAUGGCCUUGUGCUGGGCGUAGAUCAUUCAAAUUUCUGUCCUAUCAGCUUUCGACGGUAGUGUAGUGGACUACCGUGGCGUCAACGGGUAACGGGGAAU